rnacentral:rRNA from 1 species
UACGUAGGUGGCAAGCGUUGUCCGGAUUUACUGGGCGUAAAGGGCGUGCAGGCGGUUUGUUAAGUCUAGGGUGAAAGCUCCCGGCUCAACUGGGAGAGGUCCUUGGAUACUGGCAGACUUGAGGAGGGUAGAGGAGAGUGGAAUUCCCGGUGUAGUGGUGAUAUGCGUAGAUAUCAGGAGGAACACCGAUGGCGAAGGCAGGUCUCUGGGCUGACACUGACGCUCAUGCACGAAAGCGUGGGGAGCAAACAGG